AGUGAACGCUGGCGGUAGGCCUAACACAUGCAAGUCGAGCGGCAGCACAGUAAGAGCUUGCUCUUACGGGUGGCGAGUGGCGGACGGGUGAGGAAUACAUCGGAAUCUACUUUUUCGUGGGGGAUAACGUAGGGAAACUUACGCUAAUACCGCAUACGACCUACGGGUGAAAGCAGGGGAUCUUCGGACCUUGCGCGAUUGAAUGAGCCGAUGUCGGAUUAGCUAGUUGGCGGGGUAAAGGCCCACCAAGGCGACGAUCCGUAGCUGGUCUGAGAGGAUGAUCAGCCACACUGGAACUGAGACACGGUCCAGACUCCUACGGGAGGCAGCAGUGGGGAAUAUUGGACAAUGGGCGCAAGCCUGAUCCAGCCAUACCGCGUGGGUGAAGAAGGCCUGCGGGUUGUAAAGCCCUUUUGUUGGGAAAGAAAAGCAGCAGGUUAAUACCCCGCUGUUCUGACGGUACCCAAAGAAUAAGCACCGGCUAACUUCGU
rnacentral:rRNA from 1 species